rnacentral:RNase_P_RNA from 1 species
UCUGGAGGAAGGACAAUUGCCCCCCACUGCGUAAAGCUAUGAGGGGAGGAAAGUCCAGGCUGCAGGAAACAGGGUGCCCAGCGUAAGCUGGGACGGGUAACCGCUAGUCAGAGCCACAGAGACUACGACUCACCCCAAUCUUAAAAAGAAAGGGGAAGAGGGUGAAAAGAGGCAAUCCUCCCCGCAGCAACCUCCGACAGGGACGCCAUUAGGUGUUUCCCCGAUUCGUCUUUUGACGAAGCGUUCCGAGGUGAGGGCCUAGAGAGAUAAUUGUCUAAAACAGAACCUGGCUUACCACCCUCCAGAGUGA